rnacentral:rRNA from 1 species
CACGGCGCACGGGUGCGUAACACGUGGGCAAUCUGCCCUUCGAUGGGGAAUAUCUUCGGGAAACCGAAGCGAAUUCCGCAUAACAUUCCUUGGACUUCGGUUCGAGGACUCAAAGCCGUAAGGCGUCGAAGGAGGAGCCCGCGCCCGAUUAGCUAGUUGGUGAGGUAACGGCUCACCAAGGCAAUGAUCGGUAGCUGGUCUGAGAGGAUGGCCAGCCACACUGGAACUGAGACACGGUCCAGACUCCUACGGGAGGCAGCAGUGGGGAAUCUUGCGCAAUGGGCGAAAGCCUGACGCAGCGACGCCGCGUGGGGGAUGAAGCAUCUCGGUGUGUAAACCCCUUUCGACUGGGACGAAUGCCUCGCAAGAGGAGUGACGGUACCAGUAGAAGAAGCCCCGGCUAACUACGUGCCAGCAGCCGCGGUAAGACGUAGGGGGCCAGCGUUGUUCGGAAUUACUGGGUGUAAAGGGUUCGUAGGCGGUGUGGCAAGUCGGGAGUGAAAUUUCUGGGCUUAACCCAGAAGCUGCUUCCGAAACUGCUGUGCUUGAGUGUGGGAGAGGCGCGUGGAAUUGCAGGUGUAGCGGUGAAAUGCGCAGAUAUCUGCAGGAACACCCGUGGCGAAAGCGGCGCGCUGGACCACUAC